rnacentral:rRNA from 1 species
AUUGAACGCUGGCGGCAGGCUUAACACAUGCAAGUCGAACGUGUGGCGGACUGGUGUGUAAUUCUUGGGAAUCUUGCUUAUGGCUGGGGAUAACUUCGGGAAACUGUAGCUAUUACCGCGUACCAUAGGAUGAGCCCAAGUGGGAUUAGGGAGUUGGUGAGGUAAAGGCUCACCAAGCCGACGAUCUCUCGCUGGGAUGAGAGGAUGACCAGCCACACUGGGACUGAGACACGGCCCAGACUCCUACGGGAGGCAGCAGUGGGGAAUAUUGCGCAAUGGGGGCAACCUGACGCAGCCAUGCCGCGUGAAUGAAGAAGGCCUUCGGGUUGUAAAGUUCUUUCGGUAGCGAGGCGUUAACUACAGAAGAAGCACCGGCUAACUCCGUGCCAGCAGCCGCGGUAAUAG